rnacentral:rRNA from 1 species
GUGAAUUGCAGAAUUCAGUGAAUCAUCGAAUCUUUGAACGCACAUUGCGCCCGUCAGCAUUCUGGCGGGCAUGCCUGUCCGAGCGUCAUUUCAACCCUCAGGAUCGCCCUUCCGGGGGAGGAGCCUGGCGUUGGGGAUCGGCCCGCCCCCGUGCGGAGCCGUCCCCG